rnacentral:rRNA from 1 species
AACGAACGCUGGCGGCAUGCCUAGCACAUGCAAGUCGAACGAGACCUUCGGGUCUAGUGGCGCACGGGUGCGUAACGCGUGGGAACCUGCCCUUAGGUUCGGAAUAACUCCCCGAAAGGGGUGCUAAUACCGGAUAAUGUCUUCGGGCCAAAGAUUUAUCGCCUUUGGAUGGGCCCGCGUUGGAUUAGCUAGUUGGUAGGGUAAAAGCCUACCAAGGCGACGAUCCAUAGCUGGUCUGAGAGGAUGAUCAGCCACACUGGGACUGAGACACGGCCCAGACUCCUACGGGAGGCAGCAGUGGGGAAUAUUGGACAAUGGGCGAAAGCCUGAUCCAGCAAUGCCGCGUGAGUGAUGAAGGCCUUAGGGUUGUAAAGCUCUUUUACCCGGGAUGAUAAUGACAGUACCGGGAGAAUAAGCUCCGGCUAACUCCGUG